rnacentral:ncRNA from 12 species
UUUCUUCGGGUCUGUGGUUGCAAGCCGAUGCCAGUCGCAGGCAAAGCGGUCCACGUAAUCCACCCAAAGCGGUGGGGAGCAUGGUGCGGUCUAGAUGUAAGUCCGUCCGGGACGCCGUAGGCGAUCCCGAGAGGAGUGCGUGAGGGCACUGAACGUGCAGAGCUACCUCCCAGACGGCGUGUGUGGGGUCAAAUACCAGGUCAGCCGUGGAAA